rnacentral:tRNA from 1 species
GCGGGGUGGAGCAGUCUGGUAGCUCGUCGGGCUCAUAACCCGAAGGUCGAAGGUUCAAAUCCUUCCCCCGC